UGGGGAAUUUUGGACAAUGGGGGAAACCCUGAUCCAGCCAUCACGCGUGUGCGAUGAAGGCCUUCGGGUUGUAAAGCACUUUUGGCAGGAAAGAAACGUCAUGGGUUAAUACCCCGUGAAACUGACGGUACCUGCAGAAUAAGCACCGGCUAACUACGUGCCAGCAGCCGCGGUAAUACGUAGGGUGCAAGCGUUAAUCGGAAUUACUGGGCGUAAAGCGUGCGCAGGCGGUUCGGAAAGAAAGAUGUGAAAUCCCAGGGCUCAACUUUGGAACUGCAUUUUGAACUGCCGGGCUAGAGUGUGUCAGAGGGAGGUGGAAUUCCGCGUGUAGCAGUGAAAUGCGUAGAUAUGCGGAGGAACACCGAGGGCGAAGGCAGCCUCCUGGGAUAACACUGACGCUCAUGCACGAAAGCGUGGGGAGCAAACAGG
rnacentral:rRNA from 1 species